rnacentral:rRNA from 1 species
UGGGGGAUAUUGCACAAUGGGCGAAAGCCUGAUGCAGCGACGCCGCGUGGGGGAUGAAGGCUUUCGGGUUGUAAACCUCUUUCGCUAUCGAACAAGGCCCGCUUAGGGUGGGUUGAGGGUAGGUGGAGAAGAAGCGCCGGCUAACUACGUGCCAGCAGCCGCGGUAAUACGUAGGGCGCGAGCGUUGUCCGGAAUUAUUGGGCGUAAAGGGCUUGUAGGCGGCUUGUUGCGCCUGCUGUGAAAACGCGGGGCUUAACUUCGCGCGUGCAGUGGGUACGGGCAGGCUUGAGUGUGGUAGGGGUGACUGGAAUUCCAGGUGUAGCGGAGGAAUGCGCAGAGAUCUGGAGGAACACCGAUGGCGAAGGCAGGUCACUGGGCCAUUACUGACGCUGAGGAGCGAAAGCAUGGGUAGCGAACAGG